AAUAACAUUUCACCCAAUUUUAUUUUUGUCAAAAUCCACUCUCCUCUAUCGAUACUCCCUAUCUUUCUUCUACGCAGAUCUAGGGUUCCAAUUUGUAUAUCGCCUCUCCCCUUUUGCGUCUAGCUGAAGCCUACCAUCGCCGCCACUGGUACUGGUACAGUGGUACUACACUUGCAUUCAGUUGUCUUCAUUUCACUAUGGAACUCGUCGCUGUCAGGUUGCUUUGUUGAAAGAUGAUCAUGGCCUGGACCAGUGGGAGCUCGUCUGAAGAUGAAGGAGUGCAAUUCUCAAAUCUCGAGCAUUCUCAACGAGCAGCAGCAACUUCAGAAUAAGAUUAGUGAGACCGAUCUCGAGAAGGGAAUGGAAAAUGAGGUGCUAGCAAACCAUGCAAGGAUGUGUAGGCGAGUCCCUUGAUGACUCUGAUCCAGGAAUGUGAAGGGCAAAAAUGUAACUUAGGCUUGCUGAAUCUGACAAAUACUUCGCUACCUAGAAAAGGAUUUUCUCCUACAUUCUACCAAGUGUUUGCUUCUCAGGGAGUAUAUUAGUUGUGGGCAAAUUGCAAUUUGGUUUUCCACAUUCAAAUUUUAAUUUUCUAGUUUAAUAGGAAUUGAUUAGUACUUAAUAAUGUUUUAGCUGAACCUUGUAACUCUCUAGCCUUGCAUUAGUUAGGCUUUUUUUUAUUUCAACUUUAUUGGUCGUGUAGAUGUAUUCAAUUUGACUAUAUAAUUGUGAUAUGCAUUUUCAUUGUAAAAUAUUACUA